UUUCCGUGGGUGAACCUGCGGAAGGAUCAUUAUUGAAUGAAACACUUCUGGCUUUAUGCUGUUGUGCUGGCCCUUUGGGCAAUGUGCACACGGCUCUGGUCACUUGUUUCUUCUGUUCCACCUGUGCACUGCCUGUAGACACGCUGUGUCUAUGAUAUUUGUUAACACACAACAAUGUUAGUUAGCAUGUUAUAUAUAAUAAUAAAAUAUACAACUUUCAACAACGGAUCUCUUGGCUCUC
rnacentral:misc_RNA from 1 species